rnacentral:rRNA from 1 species
AUGGAGAGACUUGUUAAUGUUCAUUACAUGGACAAGGAGGCAUUCUUGAGUAACAAUGCCAACACGGGUGAGGAACCACUGGUUUUUGAUACAAGCCCUAGCUAUGAGGAUGUUGUUGCAAAAGUGAGACAAGUCUUGAAGUGGAUGGACACCAAUGUUGAUGUUAAGUUAAUAGGAAGGUAUGAUGUUGGAGUUGGAGCCAAAUCUCGCUUGAAAAGUAUGCCUAUCACCUCGGAUUUGCAUUGGGAUGUAUACAAGGAAAAAGUAUCCCAAUCGGAAGACAAGUCACUUGAAUUGUUUGCCACCAAGGUUGAAUCUCCUCGGUUCACCUUUGAUUUGAACCGGCAUGUCUCUUCCCCAAUGGAUGACAUGAGUGUUGAGUUGUAUGCCCCCAAUGCUUCUAGCCAAUCACCAACUAGCCAA